UUUGUGUAUGUAUCGUAACUAUUAGCUUUUUGUGGGUUUUCUUUGUUGCCCCAUGUGAGCGUAGCACCCCUUUAGACUUAGGCCUGUGUUGUGCCUGUUGAGUGGCCGGGGCGGGAGACAGAGGAGGAGUUGUCCGUGUGCCCCAAAGCAGCUUCGAGGCUUUGUGAAGGACAAAAUGGCGAUGGCGGGCCGUGGCUCUGGCUAUGAUGAGGACUUUUUCACAGACCUGUACUGAUCUCCAUGAGGAUAAGUAACUCUGAGGAGACUGGCCCUGCAUAGCCGCCUACGAGACCGUAGCUCCAGAAAACACAGCAUUUGCAAAAUACCCUGUGCUAACCUUAUGUCUUGGGCUCUUGUCUACAGGGCCAGGCGCACGUUUGAAUAGAAGUAGAGCUCCCCUUGGAAUACUCAGCUGAAAGGACCUUACUGCUGGUAGAAUUGGACGAAAUACGCUCCUCAGCAAAACCAAUAUGGAAGUGAUGUUCCAGCAUUUUAUAACCUUUCCUGAGGAAUUCAGCUGCCCACCAGGGUGAACACUGGUAAUUGGUCAGAUUGAUGGAUGCAAGAUCAUCUUAAUGACGAUAUGUUCCUCUAUCUUAGAGACCAUCUUGUUUCUGAAUGCCAUUGGGAAGCCUUUGGAGUUGAGAGGUACUGUUACCAGAAACCUACUUGUUGGCUCAAAGGUCUAGCAUCUUAUUAAGAGCCCAAGAAUACAUCUGAGAGGGAAGCUUAGCCCUCUUCAACCCUACUCUGAAAUUAGAGGUCUGAGGAAAGAACAAGGUGUAUAUAUAUGCUAAACAAGCACUGGCAGUGGACAUAAGCAGCAGUGAGACAGUUGUAAGUCACGAACACCAGACUCCCUCACUACAGCUUUAAUUGGGCAAUGGACUGAUCUAGCAAUAUUCCUCCUGAGAUACCAACUAUGGACUGCUAUGCAUUUGAGUAUCUUCAUGCCCCUGAUUGACCUUCUGGGAUCUAGUUGUAAUACAUCUCAGCAUUCAUUUCUGCCCCUGAGUAUGGAUUAUAGGUGAUGUGCAGGAAUAAAGCUCUCUCCUUUUGUGUG